UUAUUGCGUUUGGUGUGUGAUCGAAGCUCCUGAAAUUAAGGAAUAUGCUGUGCGUGUCUCAUCACAUCACGUUUCGAGGCAGAUUUUGUUCCGUCACCUGCAUACCGUAGGGUUCAUUUUACUACCUUAGACUGUGUAAAGUUAAUGAAGCGUAGGGCUUGGGACAUACAAAUUUGUAGCAUACACAACUAAGUAUGUUUUAUGUUAAGUAUCAAGAAGCUUGCUAGUAUCUGUAAAGAUACUACUGUGCCUGAUGAUAAAGAUUCUCAACUGUGGCCGGAGUGAGGAAUGUUCCAGAAAUCGUACCCUCUGCACACACACACACACACACACACACAUCAUGAGGAGAUGUGAGGUUUUCACAGCAGCAGCUGUAAGGAUUACAGCCUCCAGCUGACAUUUCAGAGAUCUCCCAUGUGUCCAUCAUCAGGGCCUGUGACUCACCAGCAGGAGACCUCAAGUGACUCAUCUGCCAUAAGAACAAGGAGCUGUUGCUGUGCAGUUGUAGCAAGCAAGUUACAGCAUUUCUCUGACAUCCAUUUUUCUGCCCUGUCAUCCAUGCUUGGCUCUUUCAGAUAGUCUUUUCUCUUGAGCUUAUGCCACAAAAAUCUGGUCAUGUCAAGACUGAAGUGAAAAUCUGUGCCUGUCAAGACUGAAGUGAAAAUCUGGUCAUG